rnacentral:rRNA from 1 species
AGCCUACGGGGCGCAGCAGUGGGGAAUAUUGCACAAUGGGGGAAACCCUGAUGCAGCGACGCCGCGUGAGCGAAGAAGUAUUUCGGUAUGUAAAGCUCUAUCAGCAGGGAAGAAAAUGACGGUACCUGAGUAAGAAGCUCCGGCUAAAUACGUGCCAGCAGCCGCGGUAAUACGUAUGGAGCAAGCGUUAUCCGGAUUUAUUGGGUGUAAAGGGCGUGUAGGCGGGAAUGCAA